UUCGCCCUCUUUGCCUGUACCUUGACUGUCCCGACCGCAGGAGAACAUCAGGAGUUUGUAGAACCUCGUAAGCUGUUGCGUUGGCAGAUUGGCUGUAAAGAUGGUUCCCGGAGCUUUAGCCGUGCUGCUGGCUUUGGUUAGCUUCGCUGAGAGCAAACAGAAAGAUUUUUACACAUUUAAAGUAGUGAACAGCAGGGGGAAGUUAGUGUCCCUGGAAAAGUACCGGGGUUCGGUCUCCCUGGUGGUGAACGUAGCCAGCGACUGUGGCUUCACAGAGGAACACUACAAAGACCUGCAGCAGCUCCAGCGGGACUUUGGGCCGUCCCACUUCAACGUGCUGGCCUUCCCCUGCAACCAGUUCGGCCAACAGGAGCCCGGCAGCGACAAGGAGAUCGACAGCUUUGUCCGCAGAGUCUACGGAGUCUCCUUCCCCCUGUUCAGUAAAAUCGCUGUGGUGGGAACUGGAGCCAAUAAUGUCUACAAGUACCUUGUUGAGGCCUCUGGAAAGGAGCCUGACUGGAACUUCUGGAAGUACCUCAUUGAUGUAACUGGAAAAAUUGUGGAUGCGUGGGGACCAAAGGUUUCUGUCAAAGAAAUCCGACCUAAAAUAGCGGAAAUGGUUCGUCAGAUAAUCCUGAAGAAGAAAGAAGAGCUUUAACCUCAAGCUAUGACACGUUCAAUGCUCAGUGUUCAGUAGCAGCUCAUGAACUCAUUGACUGCUUUUUGACUUUAAGGUACAACAUUUGAAUAAACGGUUCAAAUCAAUUCUGCCAGCACUGAUAAAGCCACUGUUUAAAGUCAGAUGUCUGAGCUGGGAGCUCUGGUUUCCACAUCUGUUAGUCAUGUGGGUUAUGGUUUUGUAAUAUUUAAAAUAAAUGUUUCUCACCAUAAGUGUUUGGAACAUAUUCCAUGUGUUUAUUAUUAUUAGAUAAGACAUACUUUAUUGAUCCCUUUGGAGAAAUUGAGUUCUCUGCAUUUGAACCAUUCCCUCACUGGGGGAGCAGUGGGCAGUCACACACUUCAAAUAUUCAAUGUAACAAUUUAACCCACAUCAAAUAGAGAAACUGGUGUCAUUUGUGUGUUGUCCAGCUUCCUCCUACAGUCCAAAGAUAAACCUUAGCUCAUUCUGAAUGUGAUGGUCACAAGUUUACAGAAGAUAGACUAGAGAUCAGAGCUGCUGUGAGCAGUCACACUAUCAGUGAAGCUGGAUUCUAGGCGCUGCAGUCCGGUACCUGUAACAUGAGCGUCUCCCGUCGUUGACCCUGUGAUGAACUGGCAGCUUGUCCUGGGAGCCGUCAGUGUGGCAUUCAAAAGGUUUUUUUAAAAACAUGUCUUGUAAAUCCAAAUGAAUAAUAAAGCCAUAAAUACACAUUGUGUUUGCUUUGUGGUGUUAUUGGUUUAUUAAAAUACACUUUAUCAGUUGUUUUACUCAUUGGGCCACAGUGUAUAAAUGUGACACAGCAUCAAUAAUACACGUGUCCUUGGUGUCUCACAUUUUUAUUCAUGUGUUGUAUGAGCAAAACCAAUUAAGUUGUCAGUUGUGGCAUUUUUAUUGCUGGGAAGGAACUGUAUGAAAGAGGAAUGUCUUUGUGUGGUUCUUUUGUUCUUACUGUAGCUGGAAUGUUGUGAAGCUGGCAUCUCGUCUGCACACAUUAUUCUGUGACUGUAAAUAAUUUAUGUCAUUUUAGCAGAUUACGUAUGAAUUAUUGUUAGAUGUCAGACGUUGUGACAGCAAACACUCGUUAAGAAACACAAAGUACUGCUUUUAGGGGAAGACAGAGCAUUUUCUGAAACAUGAAAACAGGUUGCUACAGUAGUUACUGUGUGCCUCUACAUAUGCAUGCUGGAAUAGUUAUAGUCCAUAAUAAUAGUUUUUUUACAUUCUUGAGAAAAAUGUGCAAAAGUAUU